rnacentral:rRNA from 1 species
UACAGAGGGUGCAAACGUUGCUCGGAAUCAUUGGGCGUAAAGCGCACGUAGGCGGCCUAGCAAGUAGGGAGUGAAAGCCCUCGGCUUAACCGAGGAAGUGCUUUCUAAACUACUAGGCUUGAAUACUGGAGAGGGUCGCGGAAUUCCCGGUGUAGAGGUGAAAUUCGUAGAUAUCGGGAGGAAUACCAGUGGCGAAGGCGGCGACCUGGGCCAAUACUGACGCUGAGGUGCGAAAGCGUGGGGAGCAAACAGG